AGUGAACGCUGGCGGUAGGCCUAACACAUGCAAGUCGAACGGCAGCACAGUAAGAGCUUGCUCUUACGGGUGGCGAGUGGCGGACGGGUGAGGAAUACAUCGGAAUCUACUUUUUCGUGGGUGAUAACGUAGGGACACUUACGCUACUACCGCAUACUACCUACGGGUGAAAGCAGGGGAUCUUCGCACCUUGCGUGAUAGAUUGAGCCGAUGUCGGAUUGGCUAGUUGGCGGGGUAAAGGCCCACCAAGGGGACGAUCCGUAGCUGAUCUGAGAGGAUGAUCAGCCACACUGGGACACAGACACGGUCCAGACUCCUACGGGAGGGAGCGGUGGGGAAUAUUGGACAAUGGGCGCAAGCCUGAUCCAGCCAUACCGCGUGGGUGAAGAAGGCCUUCGCGUUUUAUAACACUUUUGUUGGGAAAGAAAAGAUGCAUGUUAAUACCCCGCUGUUCUGACGGUACCCAAAGAAUGAGCACCGGCUAGCUUCGUG
rnacentral:rRNA from 1 species